UGCUUCAUUUAUUUAAAUUGUCAUUAUUGUGCAUAAUAUUUUACAUGGAAUUAUAACGAUGGGAAAGUCAUCCUGGUAGAGUUGAUAGAUGUAGAAUUGGAAUUAUUUGAUGCAUUUGCCUCUUCAUAAAAUAAAAUUACAUACGAGCAAGUGAUUUUUCAUUUUGAACUUUUUUUGUGGAAAAAUAUUUAUUUUUCACCAAAAGUAUUUAUUUAGAUUUGUAUUCCAAAUUACUGUUAUAUAAUAUCCCAACUGAUAUUACUGUUUUUGACUUUGUCUUUUUAGGUCAUUGGUAUUUUAAUUUAUCAUAGGAGAAGACUAUCGUGUCCUGGAGGUCAAAACAGCAGGGCACAGUCUGAUGCCCAGCCAAUCAGGACCAUGGCCAUCAUCAUUGAGCA